CGAGUGGCGGACGGGUGAGUAAUGUCUGGGAAACUGCCUGAUGGAGGGGGAUAACUACUGGAAACGGUAGCUAAUACCGCAUAACGUCGCAAGACCAAAGAGGGGGACCUUCGGGCCUCUUGCCAUCGGAUGUGCCCAGAUGGGAUUAGCUAGUAGGUGGGGUAAAGGCUCACCUAGGCGACGAUCCCUAGCUGGUCUGAGAGGAUGACCGGCCACAUUGGGACUGAGAUACGGCCCAGACUCCUACGGGAGGCAGCAUG
rnacentral:rRNA from 1 species